GGUGACUUUAGUGCUUUUGUUAAACUCGUUUCUUCAAAGUCUAAUGGUCUAUGCAUACAAGACCCAACAUCAGGUUCAGUUUUUUUUUCACAUCUCCACAUGAUAAGAUAUUUUCUUUCAACGUUAUCACAUAAUCUGAAGUCGUUUGGAUAUUUUCGAGAGCAGAAUCCGGAUAAGAAGAAGUAAUACCGUGGAUGCAGUGCUUGGAUUAAUCAUUAAUUCUAGUGGAAUGUCUGUCAUAAGACGGAAGAGAAGUUGGAACUUUAUUAGUUCCAGCAAUGAGUGCGGCUGAGAGGGGUGUCACAGUAUUGAUAAUUUGCACUAGGACUUCAUAAUUGGUAAACGGGAGUUCCUGUCCAUUGAAGGGAACAUAAGCAAUUUUACCAUCAGGUUGCAGCUGCAAAAAAUUACAAUCUCAGAUAUAAAUAAUGAAAUUGAUACUCCUUUAAAAAUUGAAAUGAGUUCUUAUUAAACAAUUUCAGAAAAAGUAAGUUCUUCGUAGAAAAAAGAAAAAAAUGCUUACUUUUCCUACUAUAAUCAUGCCUUCGUGCUUGACCCUAGCAACGUAAUAUCUUGGUUUUCCACGUCGGUAGCCACCAAUAAUUGCACCUUCAGGAACAUAGCCUAAGGAUGCUGCCACCCACUUCAUACGACAGCCGAAUAAUUGACCUGCACAAUCUUGAGACCCGAUUUUAUAAUCAGGACCGAGGCCAAUUUGAACAUCAGCGUAAACAGUGGGAUCAAUUUCUUCUUCGUUUUCUUGGUACAUAUUGAAGCUAAGGAAUUGAGGAGAUAUUGGAUUUGGAUCUCUCCAUUGCAAAACUGGAUUUGAUGCACUUGUUCUUCCCAAAGGGACGUGGAUCUCGCCACUCAUGGAAGGCUGUAUCACUUUCUCCAAGGCCAAUCUGGAUAAAAGUUCUGAGUUUCUCUGUUUUCAUUCGAACCCAGAAAUUUCGAAAUUCCCGCGCACUCAGAAGAUUUACGGUUUUUAUCGAGGCACUGGGUUCCUCUUGGCAUGGACAUCUUCCUCUGAUGUGAUUCACCGUGUUAUUAUGAGCGCCAAGUACAAUCUCAUAGACCGGUUCGUCAGCCUGUUCAAUUUGAGGUUUAUUUUUCUAGUUAUUAUUACCAAUUAAAUUUGCAUAUAACAUUUAAGUGUUUGGUCAAUUUGGGAUUCUUGAAAUUAAAAAUGGUAAAAUAUCGACAUUACUAUUGAAAAAUCAUAAUUUAUAUAAGUGACUAUUU